rnacentral:rRNA from 1 species
GCUGGCGGCGUGGAUAAGACAUGCAAGUCGAGCGGGAUUUCUUUCUGUAGCAAUACAGAGAGAAGUCCAGCGGCGAACGGGUGCGUAACACGUGGGCAAUCUGUCUUAAAGUGGGGGAUAGCUCGGCGAAAGCCGAAUUAAUACCGCAUGUGAUCAGGGGCGACAUCGCUCCGAAAUCAAAGGUGGCGCAAGCUACCGCUUUUUGAGGGGCCCGCGGCCUAUCAGCUUGUUGGUGAGGUAACGGCUCACCAAGGCUAUGACGGGUAGCUGGUCUGAGAGGGCGACCAGUCACACUGGGACUGAGACACGGCCCAGACACCUACGGGUGGCAGCAGUCGAGAAUUUUUGACAAUGGGGGAAACCCUGAUCGAGCGACGCCGCGUGGAGGAUGAAGGUCUUCGGGUUGUAAACUCCUGUCAUUUGGGAACAAGGCGCACGUACUUAACUGUGCGUGCGUUGAUAGUACCAGAAGAGGAAGAGACGGCUAACUCUGUGCCA